CCUACGGGAGGCAGCAGUGGGGAAUAUUGGACAAUGGGGGGAACCCUGAUCCAGCCAUGCCGCGUGUGUGAAGAAGGCCCUCGGGUUGUAAAGCACUUUCAGUGAGGAAGAACGCCUGGUGGUUAAUACCCAUCAGGAAAGACAUCACUCACAGAAGAAGCACCGGCUAACUCCGUGCCAGCAGCCGCGGUAAUACGGAGGGUGCGAGCGUUAAUCGGAAUUACUGGGCGUAAAGCGCGCGUAGGUGGCUUGAUAAGCCGGUUGGGAAAGCCCCGGGCUCAACCUGGGAACGGCAUCCGGAACUGUCAAGCUAGAGUGCAGGAGAGGAAGGUAGAAUUCCCGGUGUAGCGGUGAAAUGCGUAGAGAUCGGGAGGAAUACCAGUGGCGAAGGCGGCCUUCUGGACUGACACUGACACUGAGGUGCGAAAGCGUGGGUAGCAAACAGGAUUAGAUACCCGGGUAGUC
rnacentral:rRNA from 1 species